GGGGGCGCACCGGUCUCGACCGGGUGCAUUCGACUUCGGGUUGCGUGCCGGGGAUCUCGAGUCACCCCGUUAAAUCCACUUGGGGCGGCAUUGCAUGCCAACAACUAUUCGCUCGCGGCCUGAGUAAUCAGACCGCCGUUCCCGCGGGGAGUGCCUUCGGCCCUGCGGAAAUGCCACUAGAGGGCUGGCCGGCGAGCGGCGCUUCGGCGCGGACCGGCGAGAACAUACCGGAGCUUGGAUCGGGGUUGCCUGCCUGUGGGCGGCUCCGGGACGAAAACCAUCUGCAGGACACGCACGUAGACGCCCCCUGAUCAGGGCAGCCGGGACGCGGGUUCGAUUCCCGCCGCCUCCACCA
rnacentral:tmRNA from 1 species